CAGACAUGGAGGCAUACAUGGAGACCUAACCAACUUGAGCGUCUUUCCUGUGUGCGGAAGGAAUACAACUACUGCCUCAGUAGACCAACCACAGAAUCACAGAAUCACAGAAUUGAAGGGGUUGGAAGGGACCUUGAAAGAUCAUUGGGUCCAACCCCCGUGCCAAAGCAGGCUCCUUAGAGCAGGCUGCCCAGGUAGCCAGCACUGUUCACAUCACAUUACAACAGCAUGCUUACGAGCUCAUCAAGAGAAGACUGUAGUAGAUCAUGUGCCUUGUAAAACUGAUGCUUCAGUGCAAACAUACAAAGGAUGUGCCUGGUCUGAAGAGUUGCUGAGAAUGUCACAGAGUCCUGCUAUGGCUUGUGGCCCAUUUACUGUCCAUGGAUUCAUGCACCCACUCAUCCCUCCAGCCACCUGUCCUGCAACAUUUUGAUGUACGUACCCAGAAACUGCUGGUAGGAUGGCAGCCAUCAGCUUCCAAAGCCAGGNNNNNNNNNNUAUUAUUAUUAUUAUUAUUAUUAUUAUUAUUAUUAUUAUUAUUAUUAUUAUUUCCUUUUAACAGGAAAAUUG
rnacentral:lncRNA from 1 species